AGCGUACACGGUGGAUGCCCUGGCAGUCAGAGGCGAUGAAGGACGUGCUAAUCUGCGAAAAGCGCCGGCGAGGUGAUAUGAACCUUUGACCCGGCGAUGUCCGAAUGGGGAAACCCAGUGCAAUCCGUUGCACUAUCAUUAACUGAAUCCAUAGGUUAAUGAGGCGAACCGGGGGAACUGAAACAUCUAAGUACCCCGAGGAAAAGAAAUCAACCGAGAUUCCCCCAGUAGCGGCGAGCGAACGGGGAGCAGCCCAGAGCCUGAAUCAGUGUGUGUGUUAGUGGAAGCGUCUGGAAAGGCGCGCGAUACAGGGUGACAGCCCCGUACACAAAAAUGCACAUGCUGUGAGCUCGAUGAGUAGGGCGGGACACGUGGUAUCCUGUCUGAAUAUGGGGGGACCAUCCUCCAAGGCUAAAUACUCCUGACUGACCGAUAGUGAACCAGUACCGUGAGGGAAAGGCGAAAAGAACCCCGGCGAGGGGAGUGAAAAAGAACCUGAAACCGUGUACGUACAAGCAGUGGGAGCCUCUUUAUGGGGUGACUGCGUACCUUUUGUAUAAUGGGUCAGCGACUUAUAUUCUGUAGCAAGGUUAACCGAAUAGGGGAGCCGAAGGGAAACCGAGUCUUAACUGGGCGUUAAGUUGCAGGGUAUAGACCCGAAACCCGGUGAUCUAGCCAUGGGCAGGUUGAAGGUUGGGUAACACUAACUGGAGGACCGAACCGACUAAUGUUGAAAAAUUAGCGGAUGACUUGUGGCUGGGGGUGAAAGGCCAAUCAAACCGGGAGAUAGCUGGUUCUCCCCGAAAGCUAUUUAGGUAGCGCCUCGUGAAUUCAUCUCCGGGGGUAGAGCACUGUUUCGGCAAGGGGGUCAUCCCGACUUACCAACCCGAUGCAAACUGCGAAUACCGGAGAAUGUUAUCACGGGAGACACACGGCGGGUGCUAACGUCCGUCGUGAAGAGGGAAACAACCCAGACCGCCAGCUAAGGUCCCAAAGUCAUGGUUAAGUGGGAAACGAUGUGGGAAGGCACAGACAGCCAGGAUGUUGGCUUAGAAGCAGCCAUCAUUUAAAGAAAGCGUAAUAGCUCACUGGUCGAGUCGGCCUGCGCGGAAGAUGUAACGGGGCUAAACCAUGCACCGAAGCUGCGGCAGCGACGCUUAUGCGUUGUUGGGUAGGGGAGCGUUCUGUAAGCCUGCGAAGGUGUGCUGUGAGGCAUGCUGGAGGUAUCAGAAGUGCGAAUGCUGACAUAAGUAACGAUAAAGCGGGUGAAAAGCCCGCUCGCCGGAAGACCAAGGGUUCCUGUCCAACGUUAAUCGGGGCAGGGUGAGUCGACCCCUAAGGCGAGGCCGAAAGGCGUAGUCGAUGGGAAACAGGUUAAUAUUCCUGUACUUGGUGUUACUGCGAAGGGGGGACGGAGAAGGCUAUGUUAGCCGGGCGACGGUUGUCCCGGUUUAAGCAUGUAGGCUGGUUAUCCAGGCAAAUCCGGAUAAUCAAGGCUGAGGUGUGAUGACGAGGCACUACGGUGCUGAAGUAACAAAUGCCCUGCUUCCAGGAAAAGCCUCUAAGCAUCAGGUAACACGAAAUCGUACCCCAAACCGACACAGGUGGUCAGGUAGAGAAUACCAAGGCGCUUGAGAGAACUCGGGUGAAGGAACUAGGCAAAAUGGUGCCGUAACUUCGGGAGAAGGCACGCUGAUAUGUAGGUGAAGCCCCUGCGGGUGGAGCUGAAAUCAGUCGAAGAUACCAGCUGGCUGCAACUGUUUAUUAAAAACACAGCACUGUGCAAACACGAAAGUGGACGUAUACGGUGUGACGCCUGCCCGGUGCCGGAAGGUUAAUUGAUGGGGUUAGCGGUAACGCGAAGCUCUUGAUCGAAGCCCCGGUAAACGGCGGCCGUAACUAUAACGGUCCUAAGGUAGCGAAAUUCCUUGUCGGGUAAGUUCCGACCUGCACGAAUGGCGUAAUGAUGGCCAGGCUGUCUCCACCCGAGACUCAGUGAAAUUGAACUCGCUGUGAAGAUGCAGUGUACCCGCGGCAAGACGGAAAGACCCCGUGAACCUUUACUAUAGCUUGACACUGAACAUUGAGCCUUGAUGUGUAGGAUAGGUGGGAGGCUUUGAAGUGUGGACGCCAGUCUGCAUGGAGCCAACCUUGAAAUACCACCCUUUAAUGUUUGAUGUUCUAACGUGGACCCGUGAUCCGGGUUGCGGACAGUGUCUGGUGGGUAGUUUGACUGGGGCGGUCUCCUCCCAAAGAGUAACGGAGGAGCACGAAGGUUGGCUAAUCCUGGUCGGACAUCAGGAGGUUAGUGCAAUGGCAUAAGCCAGCUUGACUGCGAGCGUGACGGCGCGAGCAGGUGCGAAAGCAGGUCAUAGUGAUCCGGUGGUUCUGAAUGGAAGGGCCAUCGCUCAACGGAUAAAAGGUACUCCGGGGAUAACAGGCUGAUACCGCCCAAGAGUUCAUAUCGACGGCGGUGUUUGGCACCUCGAUGUCGGCUCAUCACAUCCUGGGGCUGAAGUAGGUCCCAAGG
rnacentral:rRNA from 1 species